GAAAGUGUGGCUCAGUGGUAAAGCGCUUGCCUCGCAUGCAUGAGGCACUGGGUUCAAUCCUCAGCAUCA
rnacentral:tRNA from 1 species